rnacentral:antisense_RNA from 1 species
AAAAGUAUGACAUUGCUCACAUUGCUUCCAAUGUUUACCAGCUUGACGGUAUCGCUAAGCUGGUUUUUU